UACGUAGGUGACCAGCGUUGUCCGGAUUUACUGGGCGUAAAGAGCGCGCAGGCGGUCGUUCAAGUCGAGUGUGAAAGCCCCCGGCUCAACUGGGGAGGGUCACUCGAUACUGAUCGACUUGAGGGCAGGAGAGGGAAGCGGAAUUCCCGGUGUAGUGGUGAAAUGCGUAGAUAUCGGAAGGAACAUCAGUGGCGAAAGCGGCUUCCUGGACCAGCACCGACGUUCAGGCACGAAAGCGUGGGGAGCAAACAGG
rnacentral:rRNA from 1 species